rnacentral:rRNA from 1 species
AGUGAACGCUGGCGGUGGGCCUAACACAUGCAAGUCGAACGGCAGCACAGUAAGAGCUUGCUCUUACGGGUGGCGAGUGGCGGACGGGUGAGGAAUACAUCGGAAUCUACUUUUUCGUGGGGGAUAACGUAGGGGAACUUACGCUAAUACCGCAUACGACCUACGGGUGAAAGCAGGGGAUCUUCUGACCUUGCGCGGUUGGAUGAGCCGAUGGCGGAUUAGCUAGUUGGCGGGGUAAAGGCCCACCAAGGCGACGAUCCGUAGCUGGUCUGAGAGGAUGAUCAGCCACACUGGAAGUGAGACACGGUCCAGACUCCUACGGGAGGCAGCAGUGGGGAAUAUGGGACAAUGGGCGCAAGCCUGAUCCAGCCAUACCGAGUGGGUGAAGAAGGCCUUCGGGUCGUAAAGACCGUUUGUGGGGAAAGAAAAGCAGCAGGUUAAUACGCCGCUGUUCUGACGGUACCCAAAGAAUAAGCACCGGCUAACUUCGUG